rnacentral:rRNA from 1 species
AUUGAACGCUGGCGGCAUGCUUUACACAUGCAAGUCGAACGGUAACAGGCCGCAAGGUGCUGACGAGUGGCGAACGGGUGAGUAAUGCAUCGGAACGUGCCCAGUCGUGGGGGAUAACGCAGCGAAAGCUGCGCUAAUACCGCAUACGAUCUAUGGAUGAAAGCGGGGGACCGAAAGGCCUCGCGCGAUUGGAGCGGCCGAUGUCAGAUUAGGUAGUUGGUGGGGUAAAGGCUCACCAAGCCAACGAUCUGUAGCUGGUCUGAGAGGACGACAGGCCGCACUGGGACUGAGACACGGCCCAGACUCCUACGGGAGGCAGCGGUGGGAAUUUUGGACAAUGGGCGCAAGCGUGAUCCAGCAAUGCCGCGUGCAGGAAGAAGGCCUUCGGGUUGUAAACUGCUUUUGUACGGAACGAAACGGUCCGGGUUAAUACCCUGGGCUAAUGACGGUACCGUAAGAAUAAGCACCGGCUAACUACGUGCCAGCCGCCGCCGUAACAC